UGACAGGGUCUUGCUGUGUCUCCCAGGCUGGAGUGCAGUGGCGUGAUCUCUGCUCAUUGCAGUCCCCUCCUCUGGGGGUCAAGCGACCCCCACCACCUCAGCUUCCCGAGUAGCUGGAACCACAGGAUCCCAUCCAGGAUACUGCACUACAUUUAGAUUUCGUGUCUCCUAGGAUAUUCUUGGCUCUGACAAGUUCUCAGGCUUUCCUUGUUUUGGAUGACCUUGACAGUUUUGAGGAGUACAGAUGAGCUAUUUUGUGGAAUGUCCCUCAAUGUGGGCAUGUCUGAUGUUACCAUGAUGGGACUGGGGUUAUGGGUUUUGGGGAGGAAGACCACAGAUGUAAAGUGCCAUUCUCAUCACAUCAUGCCAAGGCUGCAUAUUGUCAAAUGACUUAUGAGUGAUGAUGUCGACCGCAAUCACCUGGCUGAGGUAACGUUUGCCAGCCUUCUCCACUGUAAAGUUAUUUUUCUCCCCUCCUGUCCAUAUUGUGGAAGUCAUUAUGUGCAGCCUGCCCUUAAAAGGCAGAGGUAUGUUCCAGCUCCAUGGGGGUUAUCUACAUAAAUUAUUUGGAGCUUUCUGCAUGGCAAAUGUGUCUCUUCUCCUUCACUGAUUAAUUUAUUCAAUCACUUAUUUGUAUCAGUAUAGGCUUAUGAAUUGUGGGUUAUUUUUGAAACACCAAAUUUACAUUAAAUAGAAAUAAAAGGAGAACAAAAUAAACAUAAAGCAGGGAAAGGGACAAAGUGUGUUCAUUUGCUUCUGGCUUCUUUCACUCAAUAUUUUUUGGGGGAGGUGGAGGUAAGGUGACAUUCAUCCAUGUUGUUGCAUAUAGCUUUAGAUUAUUCUUAUUGCUGUGUAGUAUGAAUGCAUAUUAUGUAAAUAUAUCACAGUGUCUUUCCAUAUGUAUAGUUGUAGGUCAUUCCCACUGCUGUAUGCUAUUCCUAGUGUGAAUAUAACACAUGUAUUUAUGUUUCCUUCUGUUGCUGUGCAUUGGAUAGUUCCCAGGUUGUGACAAUAUGGAUAGUGCCACUAUGGACAUUCAGGUAUAUGUCUUUUCAUGAACAUAUGGACACAUUUGUGUUGCUACCAAAGAAUGAAAUUGUUAGAUCAAAGGACACCUAUGAUCACCUCAAGUAGAUAAUGCAGUUUUCCAAAGGAGUUGUACCCACUGACACAGUCACCAGCAGGGUACAAGUCCCAUUUGUUCUGCAUCCUUGACAACAUUUGGAAUUGCCAAUCUUUUUCAUCUGUGGAUACACAGAAGUAUGUCAUUGACAUUUUAUUUUUUAUUUUACUGAUAACUAAUUAAGCCGAGAACCUUUUCAUGUUUAUUGGCCAUUUGAUAUUAUCUUUUGUGAAACUUUCAUAAUUUCCUAUUGUUUUUUGCUGUUGGAUUGUCUUUGUUCUUAUUAAUCUGUAGGGUGUGUGUGUGUGUGUGUGUGUUUAUAUACUGGAUAUAAAUUCUUUGUUGAAUAUAUGUAUUUUGAAUAUCUUCUUUCACCGUGUGGAUUGCCUUUUCAUAAUCUUAACAGUGUCUUUUGAUAAACACAUUUUUAAAUGUUAAUGUAAUCUAAUAUAGCACAUCUUAUUUUUUGGUUUCUACCCUUUGUUUUAGUUUAAGAAAUCUUUGCUUACUUGAGCUUCAAAAAGAUGUUCUAGAAAAGGGAUUGGAAAACUAUAGCCUGCAAUCCAAACCCAGCCUGUCACCUGUUUUUAUAAAUAAAGUUUUAUUGGAGUUCAGACAGGCUAAUCUGCUUAUAUAUUGUUUAUGACUUAUUUUGUGCUACCAUGGAAGAGAGUUGAAUAAUUGCAACAGAGAUUGUAGGAUAUGCAAAGCCUGAAAUAUUUAAUAUUGGGCACUUCAAGAAAAGUUUGCCAACCCCUAUUUUAGAAGAUUUUGUUUUUAACCUUUACACCUAGAUUUGCAAUUCAUCUAGAAUUGAUUUUCAUGUAUGUUGUGAUGAAAGAGUCAAGAUUCAUUUUUUUUUCCAUAAGGCUAUCCAAUUGACCUUGCAGUUCUUGCUGGGGGAAAAAAUUAUUUUCCCACUGCACCACAGUGUCAUCUUUGUCAUAAAUAAGAUGACCAGUAAGCAUGGGUCUGCUUCUGGAAUCUCUAUUCUGUUCCAUUGAUUUACUGCUAUCUAACCUCUCACCAAUACUACACUAUCUUAAAUGCUACAGUUCUAUAAUAGGUCUUAUAUUUUGUAAUAUAAAUCCAUCUGAAGACAUUAGCUGUCCUUUACAUUUCCAUACACACUUUAGAAAGUUUGAUAUUGAUUUUGCCAAAUAUUUUAAUUGUUAGGGAAGUGAAAAAAAGAUUUCCAUUUAAAAAAAUAUAUGUUUUCAGGUAUGAAAAGAAUGCUUCAAACUAAAUAUAAAUUUAACUUUUAAAAACAUUUAGACAAGUGAAUAGCAUCUAUAUAAUAUUACCUUUGUUUAUUUAUUUUUUAAUUGUGCUUUAAGUUCUGGGAUACAUGUGCAGAACGUGUAGGUUUCUUACACAG
rnacentral:lncRNA from 1 species